rnacentral:rRNA from 1 species
AACGAACGCUGGCGGCAUGCCUAACACAUGCAAGUCGAACGAGACCUUCGGGUUUAGUGGCGCACGGGUGCGUAACGCGUGGGAACCUGCCCUUAGGUUCGGAAUAACUCCCCGAAAGGGGUGCUAAUACCGGAUAAUGUCUUCGGACCAAAGAUUUAUCGCCUUUGGAUGGGCCCGCGUUGGAUUAGCUAGUUGGUAGGGUAAAAGCCUACCAAGGCGACGAUCCAUAGCUGGUCUGAGAGGAUGAUCAGCCACACUGGGACUGAGACACGGCCCAGACUCCUACGGGAAGCAGCAGUGGGGAAUAUUGGACAAUGGGCGAAAGGCUGAUCCAGCAAGGCCGCGUGAGUGAUGAAGGCCUUAGGGUUGUAAAGCUCGUUUACCCGGGAUGAUAAUGACGGUACCGGGAGAAUAAGCGCCGGCUAACUCCGUG